rnacentral:rRNA from 1 species
UUCCGGUUGAUCCUGCCGGAGGUCACUGCUAUUGGGAUUCGGCUAAGCCAUGCAAGCGGAGGGCGCGGUCGAAAGAUCGUGGCCCCGCACACUGCUCAGUAACACGUAGUCAAUCUACCCUUGGGACGGGGACAACCUCGGGAAACUGAGGCUAAUCCCCGAUAGGUGAGGGACGCUGGAAUGCCUCCUCGCCCAAAGCUCCGGCGCCCAAGGAUGGGACUGCGGUCUAUCAGGCUGUUGGCGGUGUAACGGACCACCAAACCUACGACGGGUACGGGCGAUGGGAGUCGGAGCCCGGAGAUGGGGACUGAGACAAGGCCCCAGGCCCUACGGGGCGCAGCAGGCGCGAAAACUCCGCAAUGCGCGCAAGCGUGACGGGGGAAUCCCAAGUGCCGUUGGUCUUAUGAUCGACGGUUUUUAGGAAGUCUAAGAAGCUCCCAGAAUAAGGGCUGGGCAAGACUGGUGCCAGCCGCCGCGGUAACACCAGCAGCCCAAGUGGUGACCACGAUUAUUGGGCCUAAAGCGCUCGUAGCCGGAUCAGCAAGUCCCUUGUGAAAUCGGGCCGCCUAACGGUUCGGCGUGCAAGGGAUACUGUUGGUCUUGAGGCCGGGAGAGGUCGGGGGUACUCCUGGGGUAGCGGUGAAAUGCUCUAAUCCUAGGGGGACCACCAGUGGCGAAGGCGUCCGACCAGAACGGACCUGACGGUGAGGGGCGAAGGCUAGGGGAGCGAACGGGAUUAGAUACCCCGGUAGUCCUAGCUGUAAAGCAUGCGGGCCAGGUGUCUAGCGCUCCUUGAGGGCGCUAGGUGCCGGAGGGAAGCCGUUAAGCCCGCCGCCUGGGAAGUACGGUCGCAAGGCUGAAACUUAAAGAAAUUGGCGGGGGAGCACCACAAGAGUGGGACCUGCGGUUCAAUUGGACUCAACGCCGGU